rnacentral:rRNA from 1 species
UAAGUCCCGCAACGAGCGCAACCCUUUUCCUUACUUGCCAGCAUUUCGGAUGGGAACUUUAAGGAUACUGCCAGUGACAAACUGGAGGAAGGCGGGGACGACGUCAAGUCAUCAUGGCCCUUACGGCCAGGGCUACACACGUGCUACAAUGGUCGGUACAAAGGGUUGCUACACAGCGAUGUGAUGCUAAUCUCAAAAAGCCGAUCGUAGUCCGGAUUGGAGUCUGCAACUCGACUCCAUGAAGUCGGAAUCGCUAGUAAUCGCGGAUCAGAAUGCCGCGGUGAAUACGUUCCCGGGCCUUGUACACACCGCCCGUCACACCAUGGGAGUUUGUUGCACCAGAAGUAGCUAGCCUAACUGCAAAGAGGGCGGUUACCACGGUGUGGCCGAUGACUGGGGUGAAGUCGUAACAAGGUAGCCGUAGGGGAACCUGCGGCUGGAUCACCUCCUUAA